rnacentral:rRNA from 1 species
UACGAACCGUGCGAACGUUGUUCGGAAUCACUGGGCUUAAAGGGCGCGUAGGCGGGCCACCCAGUCCGGGGUGAAAUCUUUCGGCUCAACCGGAAAAGGGCGUUGGAUACUGGUGGUCUGGAGGAAGGUAGGGGCAUGCGGAACUUCCGGUGGAGCGGUGAAAUGCGUUGAUAUCGGAAGGAACGCCGGUGGCGAAAGCGGCGUGCUGGACCUUUGCUGACGCUGAUGCGCGAAAGCCAGGGGAGCGAACGGG